rnacentral:misc_RNA from 1 species
CAAGAUCGGCGAGCUCGUCGCGACCUUCGUCGUCGCCGAGUUCCUUCUGGAUCGCCUUCAUCUGCUCGUUGAGGUAGUACUCGCGCUGGGUCUUCUCCAUCUGGCGCUUGACGCGCGAGCGGAUCUUCUUCUCGACCUGCAGCACCGAGAUCUCGCUCUCCAUCAGGCCCAUCACCUUCUCAAGGCGCUGGGAGACGGACAACGUUUCCAGGAUGGUCUGGCGGGC